UUGGGUGAUGCAGGUGUGUGCGACCGGAAGGAAGCUGUCGUCUGCUGUGCUUUGGAUCAUCAACUUGAGUGCCUGAGAGAGAGAGAGAGAGAGAGUUUAUAAGAGAAAAAGAAAGAGAGGGAGAAAAUAUUGAGGAAUGACUGAGAAGAAAGGAAGGAAGGAAGAGGAGGAAGGAAGGAAGGAAGGAAGGAAGGAAGAAAAGAGGACAAGAAGGAAGAGAAAAGGAGGACACUCUCUCUCUCUCUCUCUCUCUCUCUCUCUCUCUCUCUCUCUCUCUCUCUCUCUCUCUCUCUCUCACAGACCCACAGGAUGUCCCCCCACAGGAUGUUGACAAACCCCACAGUCACUCCCCUCAGCCCCUCUCUCUCUCUCUCUGUCUCUCACCUACCUUCAUGCCCAGAAUAGGAACCCUGUCAGUGCCCGUCAGGAACUUCAAAAACAACUUCUUCUGCUCCAGGGAGAGUUUGUGAAAUACUUCCCAGAACGUGCGUAUGACCGGGUGGUCUGGGAAACAUUCGCCCUGGAAACACCGACAGAAAUCAAUAAACGGAAGGAUAUUAGUGUGAA